AUUGAACGCUGGCGGCAUGCCUUACACAUGCAAGUCGAACGGCAGCACGGGUGCUUGCACCUGGUGGCGAGUGGCGAACGGGUGAGUAAUAUAUCGGAACGUACCUUAUUGUGGGGGAUAACGCAGCGAAAGCUGUGCUAAUACCGCAUAAUCCCUAAGGGGGAAAGCGGGGGACCGUAAGGCCUCGCGCAAUUAGAGCGGCCGAUACCUGAUUAGCUAGUUGGUGAGGUAAGGCUCACCAAGGCAACGAUCAGUAGCUGGUCUGAGAGGACGAUCAGCCCCACUGGGACUGAGACACGGCCCAGAGUCCUACGGGAGGCAGCAGUGGGGAAUUUUGGACAAUGGGGGCAACCCUGAUCCAGCAAUGCCGCGUGAGUGAAGAAGGCCUUCGGGUUGUAAAGCUCUUUUGUCAGGGAAGAAACAGCAGCUCUAACACAGUUUGCGAAUGACGGUACCUGAAGAAUAAGCACCGGCUAACUACGUGCCAGCCGCCGCCGUAA
rnacentral:rRNA from 1 species